rnacentral:rRNA from 1 species
GACGAACGCUGGCGGCGUGCUUAACACAUGCAAGUCGAACGAGGAGCGACGGAAGCUUGCUUCUAUCAAUCUUAGUGGCGAACGGGUGAGUAACGCGUAAUCAACCUGCCCUUCAGAGGGGGACAACAGUUGGAAACGACUGCUAAUACCGCAUACGAUCUAAUCUCGGCAUCGAGGAUGGAUGAAAGGUGGCCUCUACA